rnacentral:rRNA from 1 species
UACGUAGGGGGCAAGCGUUGUCCGGAAUCAUUGGGCGUAAAGAGCGUGUAGGCGGCCUGGUAAGUCCGCUGUGAAAGUCCAGGGCUCAACCCUGGAAUGCCGGUGGAAACUGUCAGGCUCGAGUCCGGAAGAGGCGAGUGGAAUUCCUGGUGUAGCGGUGAAAUGCGCAGAUAUCAGGAGGAACACCAAUGGCGAAGGCAGCUCGCUGGGACGGUACUGACGCUGAGGCGCGAAAGCUAGGGGAGCAAACGGG